UAACAACAGCUUAUCGCAUGAUGAUUGUUUGAAAGCUCCGGCGGAGACGGAUUGGCUCGCGUGACAUUAGCUUGUUGGCGGGGUAACGGCCCACCAAGGCGACGAUGUCUAGGGGUUCUGAGAGGAAGGUCCCCCACACUGGAACUGAGACACGGUCCAGACUCCUACGGGAGGCAGCAGUGAGGAAUAUUGGUCAAUGGGCGGAAGCCUGAACCAGCCAUGCCGCGUGCAGGAAUGAGGCCCUAUGGGUCGUAAACUGCUUUUGCUGCGGAGCAAUAAGGUGUACGUGUGCACCGAUGAGAGUACGCAGCGAAUAAGCAUCGGCUAACUCCGUGCCAGCAGCCACGGUAAUACGGAGGAUGCGAGCGUUAUCCGGAUUUAUUGGGUUUAAAGGGUGCGUAGGCUGUUCGUCAAGUCAGUGGUGAAAUGCCGGGGCUCAACCCCGGAGCUGCCAUUGAUACUGUCGGGCUUGAAUCCUGCUGCCGUGGGAGGAAUGAGUAGUGUAGCGGUGAAAUGCAUAGAUACUACUCAGAACACCGAUUGCGAAGGCAUCUCACGAAACAGGCAUUGACGCUGAGGCACGAAAGCGUGGGGAUCAAACAGGAUUAGAUACCCUGGUAGUCCACGCAGUAAACGAUGAUGACUAACCGUUGGCGAUACAAUGUCAGUGGCCAAGCGAAAGCGAUAAGUCAUCCACCUG
rnacentral:rRNA from 1 species